UGGGGAAUAUUGCACAAUGGGGGAAACCCUGAUGCAGCGACGCCGCGUGAGCGAAGAAGGCCUUCGGGUCGUAAAGCUCUUUUAUAUGGGAAGAUAAUGACGGUACCAUAAGAAAAAGCCCCGGCUAACUACGUGCCAGCAGCCGCGGUAAUACGUAUGGGGCGAGCGUUGUCCGGAAUUAUUGGGCGUAAAGGGUACGUAGGCGGUCUAUUAAGUCAGGUGUGAAAGCGUGAGGCUUAACCUCAUUAAGCACUUGAAACUGAUAGACUUGAGUGAAGGAGAGGAAAGUGGAAUUCCUAGUGUAGCGGUGAAAUGCGUAGAUAUUAGGAGGAAUACCGGUGGCGAAGGCGACUUUCUGGACUUUUACUGACGCUCAGGUACGAAAGCGUGGGGAGCAAACAGG
rnacentral:rRNA from 1 species